UAGGGAAGUCUUCCACAAUGGACGGCAAGUCUGAUGGAGCAACGCCGCGUGAGUGAAGAAGAUCUUCGGAUCGUAAAACUCUGUUGUUAGAGAAGAACACGAGUGAGAGUAACUGUUCAUUCGAUGACGGUAUCUAACCAGCAAGUCACGGCUAACUACGUGCCAG
rnacentral:rRNA from 1 species